ensembl:lncRNA
UAGAGUUGAAUGUAUUUCAUUUAGAGUUUACAUCCCAAUAUUACACUUUAUAUGACAUUAUAGAAGUCUGAAAUAGAACACAACUGUUUGACAUAGAAACAUCAGAUUUUCUGUGUUAUUAAUUUUUUUUUUUAAGUUAAUUAAUUAUGGGAUUAUGAAAAAUAUUAGUAACAUUCCAACCAUGAGGCCACUAGGUCAUUUGACUGCAGGAAAGAGCUAUGCGCCACUGUCAUUAACACAGUGGUCAUGGGUCUGGGUCCUUAACACAGUGGUCAUGGGUCCAUAACACAGUGGUCAUGGGUCCUUAACACAGUGGCCAUGGGUCUGGGUCAUUAACACAGUGGUCAUGGGUCCUUAACACAGUGGUCAUGGGUCCUUAACACAGUGGUCAUGGGUCUGGGUCAUUAACACAGUGGUCAUAGGUCUGGGUCCUUAACACAGUGGUCAUGGGUCCUUGACACAGUGGUCAUGGGUCCUUAACACAGUGGUCAUGGGUCUGGGUCCUUGACACAGUGGUCAUGGGUCUGGGUCCUUAACACAGUGGUCAUGGGUCUGGGUUCUUGACACAGUGGUCAUGGGUCUGGGUCCUUAACACAGUGGUCAUGGGUCCUUAACACACUGGUCAUGGGUCCUUAACACACUGGUCAUGGGUCUGGGUCCUUAACACAGUGGUCAUGGGUCCUUAACACAGUGGUCAUGGGUCCUUAACACACUGGUCAUGGGUCCUUAACACAGUGGUCAUGGGUCCUUAACACACUGGUCAUGGGUCUGGGUCAUUAACACAGUGGUCAUGGGUCCUUAACACAGUGGUCAUGGGUACUUAACACAGUGGUCAUGGGUAUAAUAUCCUUAUCUUAUCCUCUUACUCUGUCAGAGAGACAUUGUGCAGUUUCUUUGUAAUUUCCCGAGUCUGGCUAGUCCCAAGGUAGCCUGGGUGCCUGUCUGCUUUUGCUCUCUUGUCAG